UACAGAGACUGCAGGCGUUAUUCGGAUUCACUGGGCGUAAAGGGUGCGCAGGCGGCCGUGUGUGUCAGAUGUGAAAUCCCGGGGCUUAACUCCGGAACUGCGUCUGAAACUACACGGCUAGAGCAUUGGAGAGGGUAGUGGAAUUCACGGUGUAGCAGUGAAAUGCGUAGAUAUCGUGAGGAACACCAGAGGCGAAGGCGACUACCUGGACAAUUGCUGACGCUCAGGCACGAAAGCGUGGGGAGCAAACAGG
rnacentral:rRNA from 1 species